rnacentral:rRNA from 1 species
UUCGGCAUGGGGGGAACCCUGGACCGAGCAACGCCGCGUGAGUGAAGAAGGUGUCGGAUCGUAAAGCUCUGUUGUAAGAGAAGAACGAGUGUGAGAGUGGAAAGUUCACACUGUGACGGUAACUUACCAGAAAGGGACGGCUAACUACGUGCCAGCAGCCGCGGUAAUACGUAGGUCCCGAGCGUUGUCCGGAUUUAUUGGGCGUAAAGCGAGCGCAGGCGGUUAGAUAAGUCUGAAGUUAAAGGCUGUGGCUUAACCAUAGUACGCUUUGGAAACUGUUUAACUUGAGUGCAGAAGGGGAGAGUGGAAUUCCAUGUGUAGCGGUGAAAUGCGUAGAUAUAUGGAGGAACACCGGUGGCGAUAGCGGCUCUCUGGUCUGUAACUGACGCUGAGGCUCGAAAGCGUGGGGAGCAAACAGGAUUAGAUACCCUGGUAGUCCACGCCGUAAACGAUGAGUGCUAGGUGUGGGUCCUUUCCGGGACUCAGUGCCGCAGCUAACGCAUUAAGCACUCGCCUGGGAGU